GUCCCCGUAGCUUACACCAAAGCAUGGCACUGAAGAUGCCAAGACGGUUCAAGAUGUUCCCGGAGACA
rnacentral:tRNA from 1 species